rnacentral:rRNA from 1 species
UGGGGAAUAUUGGACAAUGGGCGGAAGCCUGAUCCAGCCAUGCCGCGUGUGUGAAGAAGGCCUUUUGGUUGUAAAGCACUUUAAGCGAGGAGGAGGCUACUUGGAUUAAUACUCUAGGAUAGUGGACGUUACUCGCAGAAUAAGCACCGGCUAACUCUGUGCCAGCAGCCGCGGUAAUACAGAGGGUGCGAGCGUUAAUCGGAUUUACUGGGCGUAAAGCGUGCGUAGGCGGCUUCUUAAGUCGGAUGUGAAAUCCCUGGGCUUAACUUGCGAAUUGCAUUCGAUACUGGCAAGCUAGAGUAUGGGAGAGGAUGGUAGAAUUCCAGGUGUAGCGGUGAAACGCGUAGAGAUCUGGAGGAAUACCGAUGGCGAAGGCAGCGAUCUGGCCUAAUACUGACGCUGAGGUACGAAAGCAUGGGGAGCAAACAGG